rnacentral:lncRNA from 1 species
CCUUGGGCAGCUCCGGCCAGGCCUUGUAGGAAAAGGCCCCGCCCGAGGUUCCAGCGUCAACGGCCACUGUGUGUGGCUGCUCUGAGUGAGGAAAAAAUUAAAAGGAAAAACUGGUUCCAUGUACUGUGAACUUGAAAACAUGCAGACUCAGGGGGGUCCCUGAUUCAGAUGAAGAAUGUGGACUUGAAAAUACAGACUGGGCUAGUCCAGUGUCUGUAUUUAAACUUGUUCUUUUCUUUUAAUAAAGUUUAGGUAACAUCUCCUGAAAAGCUUGUAGCACAAAGGCUCAGCUGGGGAUGGUGUUUGACUUCGGAGGAAAAAAGUUGCUAUUGC